rnacentral:rRNA from 1 species
AUUGAACGCUGGCGGCGUGCUUAACACAUGCAAGUCGAUCGGUAACGCGGGGGCAACCCUGGCGACGAGAGGCGGACGGGUGAGGAACGCUUGGGAAUCUGCCUAUCAGCGGGGGACAACACGGGGAAACUCGUGCUAAUACCGCAUACGCUCUACAGAGGAAAGCCGGGGACCGCAAGGCCUGGCACUGAUAGAUGAGCCCAAGCCGGAUUAGCUAGUUGGCGGGGUAACGGCCCACCAAGGCGACGAUCCGUAGCUGGUCUGAGUGGACGAUCAGCCACACUGGAACUGAGACACGGUCCAGACUCCUACGGGAGGCAGCAGUGGGGAAUAUUGGACAAUGGGGGAAACCCUGAUCCAGCGACGCCGCGUGGGUGAAGAAGGCCUGCGGGUUGUAAGGCCCUUUCGGUAGGGACGAAAGCUCUCGACCUAACACGUCGGGAGGUUGACUUAACCUACAAAAGAAGCACCGGCUAACUCUGUGCCAGCAGCCGCCGUAA